rnacentral:rRNA from 1 species
UCUACAGCCCUAUACCACCCUCAACAUACCCGAUUACAUCUCAUCUCAGAAGCUAAGCAGGGUUGGACCUGGUUGGUACUUGGAUAAAAGACAAUAUUUCAAUCCAUUUUGUUUUUAGAU